rnacentral:rRNA from 1 species
AUACAUACGGUAUAUACCCUGACUUUUGGGAAAGGGUGCAAUUAUNAGAGCAAACCAAUCGCAUUUUCGGAUGUGUAGUUAUAAUUUUGCUGACUCUGAAUAACGCAGCAUAUCGGUGGCUUGUUCGCCGAUAUUCCGAAAAAGUGUCUGCCCUAUCAACCUGAUGGUAGUCUAUUAGUCUACCAUGGUUAUUACGGGUAACGGAGAAUAAGGGUUCGACUCCGGAGAGGGAGCCUUAGAAACGGCUACCACAUCCAAGGAAGGCAGCAGGCGCGAAACUUAUCCAAUCUUGAAUAGAUGAGAUAGUGACUAAAAAUAAAAAGACCAUUCCUAUGGAACGGUCAUUUCAAUGAGUUGAUCAUAAACCUUUUUUCGAGUAACAAGUGGAGGGCAAGUCUGGUGCCAGCAGCCGCGGUAAUUCCAGCUCCACUAGUGUAAAUCGUCAUUGCUGCGGUUAAAAAGCUCGUAGUUGGAUCUGAGUCGCAUGCAAUGAUUCGUCAUUGACGUUAAUCAUUGUUGUGACUAUUGUUGCUGGUUUUCUAAUGAGAUCUCGUUUUCUUAUUAGUGGCUAGCGNNNNNNNNNNNNNNNNNNNNNNNNNNNNAGAACAAGCGUUUGCUUGAAUGGUCGAUCAUGGAAUAAUAAAAGAGGACUUCGGUUCUAUUUAUUGGUUCAGGAACUGAAAUAAUGAUUAAGAGGGACAAUUCGGGGGCAUUCGUAUCCCUGCGCGAGAGGUGAAAUUCGUAGACCGUAGGGGGACGCACUAAAGCGAAAGCAUUUGCCAAGAAUGUCUUCAUUAAUCAAGAACGAAAGUCAGAGGUUCGAAGGCGAUUAGAUACCGCCCUAGUUCUGACCGUAAACUAUGCCAUCUAGCGAUUCGAUGGGAUACUGUUAUCUUGUCGAGGAGCUUUACGGAAACGAAAGUCUUUCGGUUCCUGGGGUAGUAUGGUUGCAAAGCUGAAACUUAAAGAAAUUGACGGAAUGGCACCACCAGGAGUGGAGCCUGCGGCUUAAUUUGACUCAACACGGGAAAACUCACCCGGCCCGGACACCGUAAGGAUUGACAGAUUGAAAGCUCUUUCUCGAUUUGGUGGUUGGUGGUGCAUGGCCGUUCUUAGUUGGUGGAGCGAUUUGUCUGGUUUAUUCCGAUAACGAGCGAGACUCUAGCCUGCUAAAUAGUGACUAGAUUUCGUACGCAUAUUAUACAUAUGUGUCUAUAUUGUCUAGUUUACUUCUUAGAGGGAUAAGCGGUGUUUAGCCGCACGAGAUUGAGCGAUAACAGGUCUGUGAUGCCCUUAGAUGUUCGGGGCUGCACGCGCGCUACAAUGGAAGAAACAACUGGCAUUGCCAUUGCCGAGAGGUAUUGGUAAACCGUUGAAAGUCUUCCGUGACCGGGAUAGGGGAUUGUAAUUAUUUCCCUUGAACGAGGAAUUCCUAGUAAGUGUGAGUCAUCAGCUCACGCUGAUUA